GGUGGUGUGGCCCAGUUCGUUAGUGCAUUGCACUGGUGAUGCAAAGGUCAUAGGUUCAAAUCCUGUCAAUCCGACCA
rnacentral:tRNA from 1 species